AGCUCACUGGGUCGAGUCGGCCUGCGCGGAAGAUGUAACGGGGCUAAACCAUGCACCGAAGCUGCGGCAGCGACGCUUAUGCGUUGUUGGGUAGGGGAGCGUUCUGUAAGCCUGUGAAGGUGUGCUGUGAGGCAUGCUGGAGGUAUCAGAAGUGCGAAUGCUGACAUAAGUAACGAUAAAGCGGGUGAAAAGCCCGCUCGCCGGAAGACCAAGGGUUCCUGUCCAACGUUAAUCGGGGCAGGGUGAGUCGACCCCUAAGGCGAGGCCGAAAGGCGUAGUCGAUGGGAAACAGGUUAAUAUUCCUGUACUUGGUGUUACUGCGAAGGGGGGACGGAGAAGGCUAUGUUGGCCGGGCGACGGUUGUCCCGGUUUAAGCGUGUAGGCUGGUUUUCCAGGCAAAUCCGGAAAAUCAAGGCUGAGGCGUGAUGACGAGGCACUACGGUGCUGAAGCAACAAAUGCCCUGCUUCCAGGAAAAGCCUCUAAGCAUCAGGUAACAUCAAAUCGUACCCCAAACCGACACAGGUGGUCAGGUAGAGAAUACCAAGGCGCUUGAGAGAACUCGGG
rnacentral:rRNA from 1 species